rnacentral:rRNA from 1 species
AUUGACCGCUGGCGGCAGGCCUAACACAUGCAAGUCGAACGAGUGGCGGACGGGUGAGUAUGUCUUGGAAACUGCCUGAUGGAAGGGGAUCCCUACUGGAAACGGUAGCUCAUACCGCAUACCAUCAGCUUUGCCCGGAUGGGAUUAGCUAGUUGGUGGGGUAACGGCUCACCAAGGCGACGUUCCCUAGCUGGUCUGAGAGGAUGACCAGACACACUGGAACUGAGACACGGUCCAGACUCCUACGGGAGGCAGCAGUGGGGAAUAUUGCACAAUGGGCGAAAGCCUGAUGCAGCCAUGCCGCGUGUAUGAAGAAGGCCUUCGGGUUGUAAAGUACUUUCAGCGGGGAGGCGUUACCCGCAGAAGAAGCACCGGCUAACUCCGUGCCAGCCGCCGCGGUAAUAC